UACAGAGGGUGCAAGCGUUAAUCAGAAUUACUGGGCGUAAAGGGCGCGUAGGUGGAAAGGUAUGUUGGAUGUGAAAGCCCCAGGCUUAACCUGGGAAGGUCAUUCAAAACUGUCUUUCUAGAGUACAGUAGAGGGAAGUGGAAUUUCCGGUGUAGCGGUGAAAUGCAUAGAUAUCGGAAGGAACAUCAGUGGCGAAGGCGGCUUCCUGGACUGUUACUGACACUGAGGCGCGAAAGCGUGGGGAGCAAACAGG
rnacentral:misc_RNA from 1 species